rnacentral:rRNA from 1 species
AUUGAACGCUGGCGGCAGGCCUAACACAUGCAAGUCGAGCGAGCGGCGGACGGGUGAGUAAUGUAUGGGGACUGCCCGUUAUAGGGGGAUAACAACUGGAAACGGUGGCUAAUACCGCAUACUGUAGGAUAACCCAUAGGGGAUUAGCUAGUAGGUAAGGUAAUGGCUUACCUAGGCGACGAUCCCUGGCUGGUCUGAGAGGAUGAUCCGCCACACUGGGACUGAGACACGGCCCAGACUCCUACGGAGGCAGCAGUGGGGAAUAUUGCACAAUGGGCGCAAGCCUGAUGCAGCCAUGCCGCGUGGAUGAAGAAGGCCCUAGGGUUGUAAAGUACUUUCGGUCGGGAGGCGUUACCGACAGAAGAAGCACCGGCUAACUCCGUGCCAGCCGCCGCGGUAAUAC